GCCACUGCACUCCAGCCUGGGUGACAGAACAAAACCCUGUUUCAAAAAAAGAAAAAAAACAAAAGAUGAGGCGGGAAAUGGGGAGUAAGCUUUGCUAACCAGAUGUGGGAUGAAUAAAUUAAUUUUAUGUAUUAAUCAUGAUUAUGACCUUCACAUCCCCUUGGCUCACCCCUAGACAAUUCUUCCCCACUCCCAGCCAUCUGCAAGCCACAGUCAGCCUGUCCCUGCUCCCGAAAAUGGAAUUGCUGAUGCCCCCAAGGCUGUUACUCUCCCAGGGGGUCAUCUAUUCCUUGGAAUGGAGAGGCUGGCGAUUCUGGCUGGUGGCUAUCUUUCCACAGAACACCCCUGAUUAGCCAGGCCCACCGCCAUCCAGAUCUGCUUGGCAAAGAAGGAAGGUAGCUUGUUCCAGACCUUGGUGAGCGGCUGCAGACUGCCUGCCUAGAACAGCCUCCUUACUCCAGCCUGGCAGGGAAGGAAGGAACCUGACUUGCUUUGCAGGAUCUGGAAUCUCAGCGCGCAGAGCUGAGAGCCGCAGUUGCAUCCUGGAGCCUGAUGCUAGAAGCAGCUUCUGUCUCUGGGUUCUUGCUGCCAUGGCCUCUGCUCUGUUCAGUUUGCUGUUGUGUUUUUCUCCCCCAUGUUGGGGUGGUGGGGUACAGGGAAAUAAAAUGUUUUCUCCCAGGCCCUUAAUCCUUCCCCAUGCCUCCAUCAGCCUCAGAGCUGCUGACAGUCAAGAACUGCAGCUUCCAGCUCUGCCCAUAAGCUACUCAAAGCAAAUUCAAAUUCUCUUCUGGCCAGGAGGAAGGGCAGAGGCUCCCUCCUUCCUCAAGCCUCUGUGGCUCGUUGAUCCAUUUUGAGGGCAUUUGGGGGUCAAAAUUGAGACCAGAUUGCUUCGGUUUGUAUAAAAUUAGCAUUUCUUAUCACACCAAAGGCCACACCUGUUCUCUGCCCUCACAAACCAGUGAGGAUGUAAAGGUUUGUUGAGGUGGAGGAACAGAAGUGAAAUGAACAAUCUGCUCCAUUUAGAAGUCAGUCGCUUCGGCUGUUCAUUCUACUAAUAUUUAUCUAGUACCUACUCUGUGCCAAGCAUUGCCUCUACCUCAGUUUGCCACAAAUAUGAAAAAAAAAUUUUUGCACAGUGAGACUUCAGUGUGUUGUGGACCAAUAUACAAAUAAAACAAUGGAAAAGAAA